GGAACGAUGUGCAACGAAAAU
ensembl:piRNA 21ur-3642 ncRNA